rnacentral:rRNA from 1 species
AUUGAACGCUGGCGGCAGGCCUAACACAUGCAAGUCGAACGAGUGGCGGACGGGUGAGUAAUGUCUGGGAAACUGCCUUAUGGAUGGGGAUAACUACUAGAAACGGUAGCUAAUACCGCAUACCAUCGGCUUCGCCCAGAUUGGAUUAGCUAUUAGGUGGGGUAAAGGCUCACCUAGGCGACGAUCCCUAGCUGGUCUGAGAGGAUGACCAGCCACACUGGAACUGAGACACGGUCCAGACUCCUACGGGAGGCAGCAGUGGGGAAUAUUGCACAAGGGGCGCAAGCCUGAUGCAGCAAUGCCGCGUGUAUGAAGAAGGCCUUCGGGUUGUAAAGGACUUUCAGCGGGGAGGCGUUACCCAAAGAAGAAGCACCGGCUAACUCCGUGCCAGCAGCCGCGGUAAUAC